UUCCAGUACUUUUGCUGCAGCCUGUGCAGAUUCAGCUUUCACACGUUCCACUGAGAGGAGGAAAAAGAAGACAAAUGUAUAACUAUGUGUGUUUCAAGUCUAAUUCAUUUUUAAUUACAAUAAUGCAAAAUAAGCAACAAUGUCUUCAUCUUACAGUGAAAACAAGGAGGCUUGAGGGAGGAGAGAGACAGAGCAUGAAUGGGGGAGGGGCAGAGAGAGAGGGAGAC